UCUCGAUAAUUUUUUUUUUAUAAACUUUGCUUAUAGGAUAUGACGAGAAUUGUUCUGGACUAGUCCAAUGAUUAUCAAUUACGUUAUACUAUCAUCGGCAUUGGCUAGGAAUGAUAUAGGACGUGAGAAUUUUGUUGCAACCCCUGCAAAAGAAUUGUCGUACUGCCAUGAGAAGCAUAUCAGUUAUCGAGAUGUCAAGCCAGAUAAUUUAUUGCUUGAUCAUGAGGAGACAUACAAUGUCUGGGACCAAGAGAGGUUCCUUUCAAAAUCGAGGAUAAUGCAGGGGAGGAUGGAUUUUAUAGCAUUGACUAGGGAGUAGCAGGGUGAGAUCAAAGUCAUAGUUCACACGCCUAAUCUCUCUAGUGAUUAUGCUGAAGAGGAGGAAGACCAAGGAUAGUAAGAAGCAGACGAAGACGAGGAAAAUGAAGAAAUAAUGGUUCGCAAUAUGUUGAUUUGGUUUUGAGUGCUGCGAAUAACAGCGGACCAACUUUGGAAUUGGAUGUUAUGUCUGAGGCAGAUGGAUUUACAAUCAACAAAUUGGCUGUCAAGAAUCCAAAUGCUUCUGAUGAGGAUAUUGCUGGUUUCUCUAAGGAACUUGGAUGAGGACCUGCAAAAAGCUUUCCCCACAUGAAGAAUUUCAUUGCCAACUAAAUUUUUGCGCAAGUUCAAGAGUUUUUGAAGGUUGCUGAGGCACCUGGAGAGUUUUCUUUCAAAAGUGGGGAUAAUGCAGGGGAGAAAAUCAUAACAUAUACUAGAGAGUAUCAGGGUGAGGGAUUAAAGUCGCAGUUUGCACAUCUAAUCCCCGGAUUGACAGUGAUUAGGAGGACAAUUCAUGCAUCUGGAUCAUAUAUUCUGCAUUUGUGUAACAUUAAGAUGAAAGUGGAGAAGAAGUAUAAGUACAUACCUUAGAUUAGCUCACAAUAGUUGAAGGAAAAACUUAGAAAUUUCAGUUGUUUUCUAUCUAGGU